rnacentral:rRNA from 1 species
CCUACGGGUGGCAGCAGUGAGGAAUAUUGGUCAAUGGACGAGAGUCUGAACCAGCCAAGUAGCGUGAAGGAUGACUGCCCUAUGGGUUGUAAACUUCUUUUAUAUGGGAAUAAAAUGUUCCACGUGUGGGAUUUUGUAUGUACCAUAUGAAUAAGGAUCGGCUAACUCCGUGCCAGCAGCCGCGGUAAUACGGAGGAUCCGAGCGUUAUCCGGAUUUAUUGGGUUUAAAGGGAGCGUAGGUGGAUUGUUAAGUCAGUUGUGAAAGUUUGCGGCUCAACCGUAAAAUUGCAGUUGAAACUGGCAGUCUUGAGUACAGUAGAGGUGUGCGGAAUUCGUGGUGUAGCGGUGAAAUGCUUAGAUAUCACGAAGAACGCCGAUUGCGAAGGCAGUUCACUGGACUGCAACUGACACUGAGGCUCGAAAGUGUGGGUAUCAAACAGGAUUAGAUACCCCUGUAGUC